GCUGCGCACUUCGGUCUUUUACGUCGGCCUUCGCGAGCGUCUGGGCGGGUGGUAGGUGAGUGGGUAUUGCGGGCUAGUAUCCGAGCAAAAGAUGGUGGCGCAGGCCGAGUUAAGAGCUUUAAUCCUGUGAAGACAUCUUAGUGAAGAGUUUAGAGUGCUGAGAGUUGAAAGCUUGCACGUGGGAAACGUGCGGCCGGACUGCCACAUGUACUGAGGUUGAGUCGUGACGGCCACAGGCUCCGAGUUUUGGCGUGAGGAACCGCUGAUCGGCCACGGGCGCCGAACUUGCUGGCCUCCGGCAUGUGCCUGAGCGGCGGCGGAAAAACCACCUUAAUUGGGGCGGAGGGUUAGUUUUAACAGCAAAGGGCCUUUACUAAAAUGGCGAAGGCCUUCCGUCGGCGUUGUUUUAAAAUGGGAAGCCUCGACCCUGUAUUGAAACUGAGCUGUUCGAAGGCGGCGUUGUGUGCAAUUCGGAUUAAUGAAGGGGAAGGGUUUUGUGUGGAAAAACGCCUUGGAGUGUGACAUUUCUGCGAGAAUGCUUAAAUACCGAUUUCCCGCAGGAACAAUGGCGCUGUCUUCAGUGGCACAGUGGAGCAGCUCUGAAGAUGCAAAGAUACACGAAAAAACUUCCAGAACAUCUGGGAGAAUAUUUAAUGGAAAAUCGCUUGGUUAAAACCUGACACUUUUAACAGUGAACAGCGUUCUGAGUGUGGACGAGUAGCCAGUGAAGAUAAUGAAUGUCGAAUGUGACUGACUAGCAGCUUCAUUUUGAAUGAGGGUCGCUGUCUGCCCAUUGAUAGAGGCCAGAUUGUCUUGGAAGUUCCAAAGUUGCAACGAUUUCUGGCUAGUGCCACGAGGUUUACUUGACUGUUGUGUGAAAAGCUGAUAAGAAAACCAUCCAGAAAAAAGCUCUUCGUUUUACAAACAUGAAAAUAAAACAUGUAAUUUUGGAUUAUGUUCCUUUUUGUUAUUACUUUUAAAUAGGUCCUGAAAUAACAUGGGGAGCAUUAAAUGGAAAAUCCACUAACCAGCCUUGUAAUCAAAUUACUUUAGUUGAAUCCAUGGACAUGAAACCCACAGAUAUAGAGGGUUGGCCCGGUGCAGUGGCUCACGCCUGUAAUCCCAGCACUUUGGGAGGCCAAGGCGGGUGGAUCACCUGAGGUCAGAAGCUUGAGACCAGCCUGGCCAACAUGGGUACUGCUUUCUCUUGCUGCAGCUUGCUUCCUCCCUCAGGUAACAUGAAGGAGGAUAUUGAAUGUUCCUAACACAAAGAAAUGAUAAAUGUUUGAGAUGGUGGAUGUACUAAUUGCCCUGAUCUGAUGACUAUACAUUAUAUAUAUUGAAACAUCAGUAUGUACCCCAUGAAUAUGUACAAUUAUAUGUCAACUUAAACACAUUUAAAAGUAAAAAAAAAAAAAUCCAAAA
rnacentral:lncRNA from 1 species